ACGCUCGACACCUACGGGAGACAGCAGUGGGGAAUAUUGCACAAUGGAGGAAACUCUGAUGCAGCGACGCCGCGUGGAGGAAGAAGGUCUUCGGAUUGUAAACUCCUGUUGUUGAGGACGAUAAUGGCGGUACUCAACAAGGAAGUGACGGCUAACUACGUGCCAGUAGCCGCGGUAAUCUGAGCGGGCUGGCAAGGC
rnacentral:rRNA from 1 species